UCAAAUGUUAUCUGUUAACAGAAGUCUAUUAUUUGCUAUCAUUAAUGUGAAUAUGAACAACGGGGAAAGCUGGAAAUAAACUAGUACAACAAAAUACAGUCCAUAGUUUGUUACAAGUCUAAAGGGUUCAAAAUGGUAGAGGCAAUCCUAAUUGACCAGUUCUUAACUCAGUAUAAUUCAAACAAAAAGAAAAUUAAACAAUUGACAGUAUUGGACUGACUAUCACUACAAAUAUUCACAUGAACAUAGGCCGGAAAUACUACUUCAUUUCAUUCCAAUUCGAGGUUACACCAAUAAAUUCAAGCGUGUACCUGGUGUUGAAAAUACAAGAAAGGAAGAUGAGAAUCAGCAGCAGUAGUAAGCAACACGGCAACAACAACAAACAGCAACAACCCGAUAAUAGAUUAAAACCAGUAGAAUCCCAGCAAUAACCAAUGGAACAGUAACGAGAAACCAACUGCAAAUUCAGAAAAACCAAUUGAAAACCCCAGCAAUACCAAACUCAACCAGUAAACUCCCAAAAACAAACAGAAGGCAGAAAUCAAACUCAUAAAUGCAAUGAAGCAGUACUUUGAUUUCUGUUUUCAAACUCUCAAAGACUGAAUUUUAAGUGUUAAAAUCCAACUUGUUCACUCUCAAACUACUGAACUUUAAAGAUUGAAAGACCAUUCAAGACUCUCUCUACAAAAACUGAAAGGAAACUGAUUUCUAUUUAUGCAAAAAUCAGCUUACUAAACUCUCAAAACUGAACUUCUUUAUCAAAGACUUCUGCUAUUCUCAAAUGUGACCUCUCCAAGAUGAUUUCAAAAGUAUCCCGUUCUUUUUUUCUUUCUUUUUUCCUCUCGAUUAAUCCUGAACUCUAUGUAUAUAUAAUAACCAAACAGACCUGCCUUCCUUUGAAAAGCUUCACUUACCCGACCAAAAAUCCCAAAAAAAUAUGUCUAUUUUCACCUAAGCUUUUCCUUAUUUUAUUACCUAAAUUACAGCUCAUAUGAUAUAAUGGCUUGUUCCCCACUAACAUUAAACUAAUGUAUAAGCUCUGGUUUAUUUGUGCUUGACUAACAGAUCAUUAGUUUAGUCAAUUCUGGCCAUUUUCCAUUCUGUAAUCCUACUGUUAUUACUGCCCUGCCCUUAAACUAUUAAUCAGUAUUAAAACCAAUUAAUUAUUAACCUAACAACUGACCAGAACCAACUUCUGAUUAUUCAUUGCAUCAAUACAGCUAUAACCAACCCUUAACAUUAAUCAAACUUUAACUUAAUGCAGAAAGUUAUACCAAAGACAAGAGUAUCAGUGAUUCACAAAAAUGCUUAUAAUCAGACAGAAUCUUAACCAAUCAGCCACUAACAAUUAGAGAACUACAAACAAUCCGAAUGCCAAUUGUGAUUUGAAUUACUACAUAAACAGGAUGUCAAACUAUAUUGACACCAGAACCAAACAGAAUGCCAAACAGUUCAAAUAUAUACGAACGACCUAAUAGACGAAGCUUAAUUAAUCGACUACAUGUUACAAAUGAGAAAUAAAUAAACAGGCAAACAUGGAUUCGAGUGGAUUUUAAUAGAGACUAACAGGCACCUAAUUAAUUGCCGAACUACUCGAGUCGAUUACAUAGUCUAUACUAUAUACUUAGCGAACAGAAACAAAUUUUGACCAAAUAAAUGGUCAGAUGGAGAAGAAGCAGAGCAAUUGACAAAAAUAAAAAAAAUCAAAAAUAACAAAACUAAACACAUAAACAUAUAUUAAUAAUACAAAAAGAACAAAAGAAAAGAAGAAAAAAUACCUUAAAAAUUAAAAUAAACAGAAACUGGACGACCUCAAUUUGAACUCAGACUCGAGCCUUUUUGGGGUAGAAAAUGGACUUUAAUCCAGUGUUCUCGAUUUAGAACACUCGACUAAAGUCAAUUGACACCCCAAUUUCUUCAAUUUGGACAUAUUCAGGGUUUGAAUAUUUUUUUAGGGUUCUUGGGUCGGAUUUGAGGCUUGAAGGGUUUUAGCUUGAUUCCAACAGAACCAAUGGUGGUUUAGUGACUAGGGAGGUCAGGGGGUGUCUGGUACGAAUUUGGGAUUGGUUGGGGUAGGUUGAGGUUUGGCUCGAAUCUUCAAAUGAAUAUUCAAGGAGUUCCAGGUUGAUUCGAGGGAGGAGGGUAAUAUUUUGGGUACGAGGGUGGUGUGGUGGUCUUAGGGUGUUGGUUCAGUGGCCAUCGGAGAAGAUUGGGUUUUCGGCCAAUCUUUGAUUUAAGAUUCUAAGGGUUGGCGUCCGAUUCGAGGCAAGCUAUAGUGAUGGCUGGAAAGGGGGGGUUGAGAGGAGUUCGUGGUGUAAAAAUGGAGUUGUUUGGCCCACCGGAACCGCCGUGAGGCGAUUCCCGGUGGGUUGAGUCACGAUGGUCAUGGGCGGAGGGUUGUGUGGCGUCUCUAGGUUAGAGACGAUGGCUGGGGUGGGGU
rnacentral:lncRNA from 1 species